GAUGAACGCUGGCGGCGUGCCUAACACAUGCAAGUCGAGCGGUAUAUAUUUGAGUGAUAUUUCGAUUGAACGAAAAUAUAGAGAGCGGCGGACGGGUGAGUAACGCGUAGGCAACCUGCCCCAUACAGAGGGAUAGCCUCGGGAAACCGUGAUUAAGACCUCAUAAUGCUAAGACAGCACCUGCUGUUUUAGUCAAAGAUUUAUCGGUAUGGGAUGGGCCUGCGUCUGAUUAGCUUGUUGGUGAGGUAACGGCUCACCAAGGCAACGAUCAGUAGCCGACCUGAGAGGGUAAUCGGCCACAUUGGAACUGAGACACGGUCCAAACUCCUACGGGAGGCAGCAGUGGGGAAUAUUGCACAAUGGGCGGAAGCCUGAUGCAGCAACGCCGCGUGAGCGAUGAAGGCCUUUGGGUCGUAAAGCUCUGUCCUUGGGGAAGAAACAAAUGACGGUACCCUUGGAGGAAGCCCCGGCUAACUACGUGCCAGCAGCCGCGGUAAUACGUAGGGGGCGAGCGUUAUCCGGAAUUAUUGGGCGUAAAGAGUGCGUAGGUGGUCAUGUAAGCGUAAGGUUUAAGGCAAUGGCUCAACCAUUGUUCGCCUUGCGAACUGUGUGACUUGAGUGCAGGAGAGGAAAGCGGAAUUCCUAGUGUAGCGGUGAAAUGCGUAGAUAUUAGGAGGAACACCAGUGGCGAAGGCGGCUUUCUGGACUGUAACUGACACUGAGGCACGAAAGCGUGGGGAGCAAACAGGAUUAGAUACCCUGGUAGUCCACGCCGUAAACGAUGAGCACUAGGUGUCGGGGCUUAAAAGCUUCGGUGCCGCAGUUAACGCAUUAAGUGCUCCGCCUGGGGAGUACGCGCGCAAGCGUAAAACUCAAAGGAAUUGACGGGGACCCGCACAAGCAGCGGAGCAUGUGGUUUAAUUCGAAGCAACGCGAAGAACCUUACCAGGGCUUGACAUCCCUCUGACAGCCCCUUAACCGGGGUCUCCUUCGGGCAGGGGAGACAGGUGGUGCAUGGUUGUCGUCAGCUCGUGUCGUGAGAUGUUGGGUUAAGUCCCGCAACGAGCGCAACCCUUGUCAUUAGUUGCCAUCAUUUGGUUGGGCACUCUAGUGAGACUGCCGGGGAUAACUCGGAGGAAGGUGGGGAUGACGUCAAAUCAUCAUGCCCCUUAUGUCCUGGGCUACACACGUGCUACAAUGGCCGGUACAACAAGUUGCAAAGUCGCGAGGCGGAGCAAAUCUCAAAAACCGGCCCCAGUUCGGAUUGCAGGCUGCAACUCGCCUGCAUGAAGUAGGAGUUGCUAGUAAUCGCAGAUCAGAAUGCUGCGGUGAAUGCGUUCCCGGGUC
rnacentral:rRNA from 1 species